rnacentral:rRNA from 1 species
UAAGGAAUAUUGCCCAAUGGGAGAAAUCCUGAAGCAGCAACGCCGCGUGGAGGAUGAAGGGUCUAUGACUUGUAAACUCCUGUAAAGAAGGAAAAAAUUCCCAUUAGAUGGGAGAUGAUGGUACUUCUGGAGUAAGCCCCGGCUAACUACGUGCCAGCAGCCGCGGUAAUACGUAGGGGGCAAGCGUUGUCCGGAUUUACUGGGUGUAAAGGGUGCUCAGGCGGAUUUGUAAGUCAGAGGUGAAAUCUUACAGCUUAACUGUGAAACUGCCUUUGAUACUGCAAGCCUAGAGUAUGGAAGAGAGUGAUGGAAUAUCUGGUGUAGCAGUGAAAUGCGUAGAUAUCAGAUAGAACACCAAUGGCGAAGGCAGUCACUUGGUCCAUUACUGACGCUAAAGCACGAAAGCGUGGGUAGCAAACA